UGGACCGGCGCCUACGACGCGCUGGUCGACACCGCGGCAGCCGCCGUCCGCGAGCCCGGGUGCACGGUGGCGCUCACGGACCUCCACCGCUGCCUCCACGCCUUCAGCGAGUCCUGCGACCGAGCCGAGGGCCUCGUCCAGGCGGCCGCCGCCAGCCUCGGCCCCGCCGCCUCCCGCCACGACCAGAUGUGCCGUGCCGUGCGCGCGGUCAACAAGGAUCUCUGGGCCGCCACCGCCGGUCGGGAGGAGAACGAGAUGGAAGAGGAGAAGAAUCGCCCUCCGACCACGCCGCUGGCGGCCGAGGACAAAUAGCCCAAUCAAUCUACCUCGUCUCCUGUUGAGGUGAUGUUCAUCGUUCUUGUUUUUUCCAUGUGAUGUUCAUCGUUCCUCUUAUUUUCUUGGUUGAUGUGCUAAUCGUGUUAGUCAUCUAGAAGAUGAAUGGAACUGUGACGGGAAAGGAGAGAUGGACUGGGAUAUUUGGCAUCGCCGUGCCGCAUGGUGGCCGAGAUGCGGUAGCCCCAUGCUCUGUUCCGAUGGGCCUCCUGUGCUCGAUGGUUGCCGCUGGUUGAGUUUGGUACGAUUUCCUGUUGUCGCUUGCGUCGAGCCUUGGGUCCGUCUCUCCUUCUCAUAGAGCCUACUUCUCCUGUCGCUGGCGCUUCUUCUUCUCGUCCGUCCUGCUGCUUUCCCGACAUGCUUCUGCUUGAUGCAUCGCGUUGUACGAUCUCUUCUGUCGCUGCGUCGUUCGACUCAUCAUGGUUUUCUUCUUUCCUUUCUACUACAUGUGUGCGUAUUUUACUUUCAGUAUCUUCUGUGUCAUGCUGUCUGCCUUGGUGAUCUUUUAAAUAUAUGUAUGUCGUGUUGAUCGUUUAAAUGUUCCGGAUAUGGUCGGGCAUUGUGUGUUGUUCGUUCUUGUGCUGCUUAUAUUUCAUGUAUGCGUGUGAGUUGUUAUACCUGUUUUGGAGGUCGUGGUAACUCGAUGCCCCCUGCGCUCACUCUUUUUGUUGUACACAGAAGCAUAUUUGUCCAAUUCUCAAACUAAUUUUUUGAAAGAAAUCGCAGUUCAUUAGAACGCCAAUUAUGGAUAUGGAUCCAUCUUGGUGCGCUGGAUGAAGGACUGGAUGUAAUAAAAAUUGCAUGUGACAAUUGCUCAUGAAUAGUAUUUGUUGUACAAACAUCCAGUUAAUUCUGGAGAUACAAUAGAGACACUAUAAUAGUACUACUUAGUCAAAUACAUUAUCCAUGAUUGUUGUAGUGAAAUGUCGCUCUAGCUAUUAAUUUGCAGAAUCUUGCACGACAAACUAUAGGCAUGUGAUCUCUAUGGUGUUCCAGUAAAUAAAGAAAACUAGAACAUGUGCCUUCAAAUUUUCUAUUUAUAUACAAAAACCAUGCAUUGGUACAUAUGAACCAUAUGAAUAGGACUGAAAAAGAUCUAUUUUUUUGUCAUGUUUGUGAGUUUUCUGUUAUUUCCGCUCAGUGUGAAUAGGACUGAAGAAGAUGGACAUAGCCCUUUAGGUAAUUUCACUUUUUUUGAACAGCAAACCGUAGAACAAUAGUUCUAUGGUAUAUUUUAAUUAAAAACACAGUAUGUUACAAAGGGAAAGGAGAAAAUAGAAACAAAAGAAAAAAGAUCUAAGCUCAUGGGGCAGAGCCCUUAUCCAAUUUCAGUUUUGGGCAACAUGACAAUCAUUUCAAAAUUCAUCUGACAGCCUGCUUGAACAAGGUGGAAUGCUCGUCUUUGAUCUUGUGUUGAAGUAGUUGAAGAUCCUUUUUCAAUUCAAGCCUCCAAUUUGAGACUGUCGGCUGGAUGUUUCUGAAGACCUUGCCAUCUCACUUUGUCCUGGAUUAAUAAUAGAUUACAAAUUUAUUUGUUUAAAUAGGACAGGUUAUUUAUGAAGGUAUACCAUUUCUAUUGACUGGAUAAUUUACAUGUUGGCAAGGACUUAUCGGUGCAGCCUGGUCAUAAUUGCUCGGCCAAUUUCCCACCCCAAAUCCAGAACCGCUUCAUCUUUAGAUCUUUACAUCAUUGAUGAAAUGCCUUAGAGACUAAGAUCUGCACUUUGUUUUUCUCCGUUCUCCUGCUCACGAAUUACCCGAUGGCUGUAAGACCCAGAGAAGCAUUAGGAACUGGUCUGCAGUGUCUUCCAGUUGUUGUCUGCCAGGCCGAAGGGAAGUUAUUAAUGCAUUUGAGCUGCUCUAUCUGAUUGUCCAUCUCCUGAACCUGUUUUAGUUGAUAUAAAAGUGUUUCUAUUUCAGAAAGCCACAACACGAGAUUGUGCCCCCUCUUGCUACAGGCUAUUCCUCAUGUUGCAACCUUUUCCCGUAGAAUUGAAAGGAAGAUGGAAGAAAUUGCAGGAGCUUGCUAUUAUUUGAGUAGGAAUGGUGUUCCCAGCGUGACAUUGAAAACCAGUCAAGACUAGGAAGGGGCUAUGAAGGGCAAAAUGCUAUGGAUCCAGAGUGGGAGGGGAGAGUUACCAACAAUGUAUCAAGGAUAAACCGGGACAUGGAUUCCUAAGUUCCAACUUAUAUAGCAAAAUUAUAUAGGGAGAAUGCUCGCAUUUUGAAAACUCUAUUACAUAGUUUGAAGCUAUGUUUCUUUCAAUUUUCAUUAUUAAAAGGAUCUAAUUAUUGCCAAUUUUUCAAGCAUUUAUUGUCAAAUAA